UGUGUCUGUACAUUGAAUAAAAAAAUAAAACAAUCAUCCAGGAACAGUAAGCUACGAAGUCAAAGAAGCUAAUUUUUAGAAUUUUUGUCUGUCUGUUUGUGCUUGCAUCACGUAAAGCUACUGAACUGAUUUUGAUGGUGUUUUCUCAGUUGUAUAGCUUAAAUGUCCGAAAAAGAAAAUAGGUACUGAUUUUAUAGAAGCUAAGAAAUAGCUUGACAUCUGAGUUGUAUGCGUUAAGUGUAAUGCGUUUCAUGAAGGUUAAGUAAUGAAGGUUAUCGUUAACAUCGUCUUUUUUCUGAAAUCUUCUUAUAACUUAACAUUUUUUACUGCAGAGAUUCACAUAAUUGUUAGUACAAAAAAUGUCGGUAUUUUAUUCAUAAAAAUACAUCAAUAAUUGUAGAAUAUAACGUGUAAAAGAUAAGGAACAAAUACUCUUGCAUUCAUUUUCUGCGUCUUUCAUACACUAAAUUUGACAAAAUUAAAAUUCAAAUGUCAUUUAAAUUAAUCAAUUAAAAUAUUUUUAGCAAUCAAUUUUCGAUCUUCCGCAAUGAAAUCGUUUUCAUAUUCUAACAUUUUAGAGCUACAACUUGUGUAAAGAGCUAUAGCUAAAUGGAACACCCAGUAUAGGUAUAUGAUAUAUGUAUGUGUUCGUUGCACAACUAUAUUGCUGCAACGGACAAUGCAACUUGCACACAACAACUUUUUCGUACAGAUAAAGCUAGAAUAGCGUUAACAAGGAUAUAACGAACAGUGAUAAAUAAGGAAAAUUUUCGUAGAAACAAGGCAUUAAAUCACAAUAUUGAAAUAAAAUUCAAGUUGAAUCACUAGCAUAAACUUCAAUACUUUGCCUCAGAUAGUUCGCACAGACAUUUUGUUCAAGGAUAGCAAAGAUUCUUCACGGAUACGUCAAAAAUCUUGGUGUUUAUUCUUCAAAGGUCAGAAACUCUCAAGUUGUUGACAGUUGUCAAUCAUUUACGUGUUUGUGAAUCACCUUGAUCUCUUUAAACGACGAUCGUGAUCGGUAAGUUAAAAAGACUAAGAGGAAUGACUCUUGUCAUUACGUAUAUAUUUACGACCAUACGCGUAACGCAUCUUGAUUUCUACUUUCCUAUCUCCAGUACAUUAGGAUUCCCCGAUCAUCGCAUCGCUGUAAUUACGCCACGUUUACGAUAUCCAUAACACGUACAUGUAUAUAUAUGCUAACAUAUACGAGAACACGAUGAAUUAUGACUAAAUUAUUCGUUCUUCGAUUUCCAAUUUCCACGAUAUACAAUUAUAAAUGUAUAAUUAUCAUAAAUGUAAUAUACAAUGGCUAUAAAAACUAUUUGUACUUGUAUUUUUCAUAUUAUAUUUAUGUAUUACAUGUUACAGUUUGAUAUGAAACUUAAUAUGCUAGACCUUAAUUAAUUAAUAUGUAAAUGCUAUAAUAAGCAAAAUGAUGCAAGGAUACUUUUUAUAGUCACUGUAUAUUCUUCGUUGAAGUUGCACUGUAAAUAUUUAAUAGUAAGUGAGAUUAUUCGUCUUGUAGUACGAAAGUCUCGAGACGUGUCGAUAAUCUCACGUUUAAAAAUAUAGAGUCACCUAAAGAACAAAGUAAACACCAAGCAUGGAAACAUACGUGUGAAAGUUAACGCCGUGAAAUUUCAAGCCAGUUAUCAAAUUUGUAGCAAUGCCACUUGAGAGAUUAUCUCAAUUAGGACAAAAAGCCUCAUGCUACCUUAAGUCUCAAAGUUUUCGUGUUGGCAAUAUCGACUAAUUGAAAUAACCUACAACUGUUUUUGUUUAUAAUUGUCAUGUCGUAUUACACUGUCAAACGUCCUGUAUAACAAAAAACGGGAAGUAGUUUAGAACCACUUAUAAACCUAUAAGAUCUUAUAUAUUUUAUCAAAUGAUCCAGUAUACGAGUUCUUUUAUUUUUCUUUCACUUCUAGAAGUAUUUCUCGAAUCUUUAUUAUUUUAUCUCUGUGGUGUCGCGAUUAAGCGUUAUCGAUCACGUGUGUCGAGCACUGUGAAAUUUGAUCGGAUAAACCUGCGAAUUAAUCGAUAUUAGAAUUUUCGGUGACAUUGGCGCGAUAGAGAGCCAAACAGAUUGUGUAGAACCCAGGUUGGUCAGCGUGACAAGGUUACAGACCAAUUAAGGAGAGACAUGGUGGUACCGUGUCCCCAUUGCGCGAUCCCCCUCGAACGAGCCUUUGCGUAAUGUCUUUAUUUACAAACCAUAUGCGAACCAUAUAGCAAUUUCACCAAUCAGGCCACUGAUGCCUGACACCGGGUAAGGCCGAGGGUACGUUCCGCGUGUCUUUAGCUAAAUUUACACCUUUUAGUUUUCGAUGACCAUCGCGGGUCAUUCAUUGAAAAACACUGUUUUUGUACAAAGUGACCAUGAAUUGAGCUGGUAGAGUGUACUAUAGCUUUUAUUUUUCACAUUCACUGUGGAUGAGUCAUUUACGAUAAUCCUUCAAAAUGGUAGGUGUAUUGGUAGGUAAAUUCGGCUUGAAUCGUCGAUCGAACCGUAAUCAUUGAUAAGCGACCAUGAUCUGGACCGUUCCCCAUGUAAAGUGAAGUAAGUCCAUAGAAACUUGUAACCUUACAGAAUUUUUCAAGAAUGAUGCCACCUCUUUAUGAAUCGUAAAAUUAACGGUACAUUGUGAACUUUCAGAGAAAGGAAAAGGAAAGGAAUGGAGGUGAUGCCGUAGAAGAGAAAAAUUAAAAUUUCAGAUGAACAAGUUUCCAAUAAACAAACAUUUAAUGUAAAAAUAGUAUGAUUAUUCAUCCAGAUCUCGUCAACGCAUCGAUUGUCACGCGAAUUUUAUAUUUAUAUCAUUAUAUUAUAAUAAAUAUAUUAUAUCAUAACAUUUAAUUUUUGUAAAAUAUCAAUUGUAUUUGCGCACUGUUUUUUUAUAUUGUUAUCUAAAUCAUUGACACAAUUGAAAAUUAGUCAAUCCAUGAAAUUUAUCUUAUUUUAAUCAUUCUUAAAAAUUUAGUAACUUAGGUCACCUGUUAACAUCGCUAUAGUCAACAUGUAAAACCGGAUCAAUCUCGAUCAAUCUGGAUUAUCGAGAUCGAACGAUCCAAAUCCGGAUUAUCGAGUUCCGCGUUCAUUUUAUUAAUUAUGGAAAAAGGAGAAAUGAAAUUUCAUUGAUGUAAUUAUAAUUUGUAGGAAAUUAUCCGGAUUAGCGAUACUCGAUUGCGCAUGAUGUCAGACUGCGAUUAAUGUGCAAACGCAUUUCGAUCGGACGUCUCGACAAAGUAUUUGUUACACAAACAUAAUCUUCUAUUAAACAAACUUGCGAUUCAAAUAUAAUAUUUAGAUAACAAGUCAAGCAAUUAUUAUACAUGCAGUUAUAGACAACUUGACAUGAAUUAAUCAAGAAUUUCAGCGGCGAUCCUUUGUACACAAUGUUUGUUGCACUACCGGAGUAUAUUGCAUAUGUGUUACGUAGAUAUAUGAGCAUCGAUGGCUAUUUGUCGAUCCUUGAAAUCUAUAUUUUCACUUUUAUAACCGUCGUCAUAAAAAGGGAACAAUAACGACGUAACGAGAACGAGUUAUAAAAACACAAAAAAUGAACUCAACACAGUGGAAUGGAAACAAUAGUAAAUAAUCGAAACGUCUCGAAAACAAUUUACGUGUGAACAGCGGAUACGUAUCCUUAGUUGGAGUAUCAAUUAUUACACAUGUAGCCAGGUAUGCGGAUUGAAAGUAUGUACUAAUGAAGGAGAAAGGAGUUUUUUUUGUAUCUGCACUACACAACUACAGAGUAAAUGAAAAUCAUGUACGUAACAAACGCUAUACACGUAAAUACGGAUCACGUAACCUCUCACGUAUAAUCUUUCUAAAAAUUCUUUUCUUUUAAAGAAGUACUGUCUUGAUAAAUAGCCAGCGUAUCUUCGAUCCUUCUUAGUGUUACUGUCUCACUUCAUUCCUAUCUCAGACCACGUAGCAGAAUUCUUGUAAGCCAUUACUGGCAUGGACCAGAUUCAGUCCUAAUCCAUGAUCAGUUAAAAAAUCAAUACUAUAUCUUCUAAAACCUAUAUUUUUGAAAGUUG
rnacentral:lncRNA from 1 species